GACGAACGCUGGCGGCGUGCUUAACACAUGCAAGUCGAACGGUAAGGCCCUUCGGGGUACACGAGUGGCGAACGGGUGAGUAACACGUGGGUGAUCUGCCCUGCACUUCGGGAUAAGCCUGGGAAACUGGGUCUAAUACCGGAUAGGACCACUGCCUGCAUGGGUGGUGGUGGAAAGCUUUUGCGGUGUGGGAUGGGCCCGCGGCCUAUCAGCUUGUUGGUGGGGUGAUGGCCUACCAAGGCGACGACGGGUAGCCGGCCUGAGAGGGUGACCGGCCACACUGGGACUGAGAUACGGCCCAGACUCCUACGGGAGGCAGCAGUGGGGAAUAUUGCACAAUGGGCGCAAGCCUGAUGCAGCGACGCCGCGUGAGGGAUGACGGCCUUCGGGUUGUAAACCUCUUUCAGCACCGACGAAGCGCAAGUGACGGUAGGUGCAGAAGAAGGACCGGCCAACUACGUGCCAGCCGCCGCCGUAACAC
rnacentral:rRNA from 1 species